AAGACCCAAGUAUACUGCUGCCAUAACGCUCCCGAUCUUACGGUAUGGAAAAUUCUGGGAGGGUAAGUGUCGACCCGCACGAAGGGCCUAACGAUUUGGGCACUGUCGCAGCAGCUGCCGCGGUUAAAGUGUAAUUCCGGUGAAGAUGCCGGAUACCUGCGACGGGACGGAAAGCCCCCAUGGAGCUUUACUGUAGCUUUACAUUGGGUCUUGGUACUACAUGUACAGGAUAGGUGGGAGGCUUUGAACCCAGGACGCCAGUUUUGGCGGAGCCAUCCUUGGGAUACCCCCCUUGUAGUACUGGGACUCUACCCAUAGGCCAUGCAUCUGGUCUUGGGACACUGUCAGGUGGGCAGUUUGACUUGGGCGGUCGCCUCCCAAACGGUCACGGAGGCGCCCCAAGGUUCUCUCCAUACGGGCCGCACUCCUACGUCGAGUGUAAAGGCAAACUAGAGCUUUAUUGCCAGCCAGACAGGUCUCGCGAGUCUUACAAUCGGCCUU
rnacentral:rRNA from 1 species